rnacentral:rRNA from 1 species
AUUGAACGCUGGCGGCAUGCCUUACACAUGCAAGUCGAACGGUAACAGGUCUUCGGAUGCUGACGAGUGGCGAACGGGUGAGUAAUGCAUCGGAACGUGCCCAGUCGUGGGGGAUAACGCAGCGAAAGCUGUGCUAAUACCGCAUACGAUCUAUGGAUGAAAGCGGGGGAUCGCAAGACCUCGCGCGAUUGGAGCGGCCGAUGUCAGAUUAGCUAGUUGGUGGGGUAAAGGCCCACCAAGGCGACGAUCUGUAGCUGGUCUGAGAGGACGACCAGCCACACUGGGACUGAGACACGGCCCAGACUCCUACGGGAGGCAGCAGUGGGGAAUUUUGGACAAUGGGCGCAAGCCUGAUCCAGCAAUGCCGCGUGCAGGAAGAAGGCCUUCGGGUUGUAAACUGCUUUUGUACGGAACGAAAAAGCCGCCUCUAAUACAGGUGGCCCAUGACGGUACCGUAAGAAUAAGCACCGGCUAACUACGUG